GCGUCUCCUCCCAGAGAUGCAUUAUACUUUGAAGAUGCCAAAUGUCAAGACUCUGAAUAUUGCAAGUCCACAGUCUGACAACUUACCUGGGUCGCACGGAGUCCCUGCAGCUACAUCUGGUGCGUCUGAUCUUUUAGAGUAGUAAAAAGCAGGACCACACUCAUUGGCGGAGAGUGUCAGCUGAGGAGAAAUAAAACAGCUGUUGCCAAG